rnacentral:misc_RNA from 1 species
AUGCGAUAAGUAAUGCGAAUUGCAGAAUUCAGUGAAUCAUCGAAUCUUUGAACGCACAUUGCGCCCCCUGGUAUUCCGGGGGGCAUGCCUGUUCGAGCGUCAUUUCACCACUCAAGCCUCGCUUGGUAUUGGGCAACGCGGUCCGCCGCGUGCCUCAAAUCGACCGGCUGGGUCUUCUGUCCCCUAAGCGUUGUGGAAACUAUUCGCUAAAGGGUGUUCGGGAGGCUACGCCGUAAAACAACCCCAUUUCUAAGGUUGACCUCGGAUCAGGUAGGGAUACCCGCUGAACUUAA